rnacentral:lncRNA from 1 species
UUGUUCAUCAAAUAUCAAAGUAUUGUUUUACUUGUUUUUUUACUUUUAACUUCUUUUAUUGCUAAAAACUGUAGGCAUGAAUCAAAAUUUAUUGGAAGUAUUAUAAAACAAGUUUUGCAAGAGGUCAACCAGACACCUCUAGAUGUUGCUCAUUACCCAAUUGGAUUAGAUUCUUCUAUCGAACAUAUAGAGUUGUUACUGCAAAGUGGAUGUGAGCAUGAAGUUCACAUGGUUGGUAUAUGUGGCGUUGGUGGAAUUGGAAAAACAACUCUGGCGAAAGCUAUCUACAAUCGAAUAUUUCGACAAUUUGGUGGUUGUUGCUUCCUUUCAGACACUAGAUCAAAAGCUAAAGAACAGGGUCUAGUCAAGCUACAAGAGAAACUACUUUGUCAAAUUCUCAAAACUAAGGAAUUCGAAGUUGAUAGUGUUGAUGAAGGUGUCAAUCUAAUCAAAGCAAGACUUGGGUCAAAGAAGGUUCUAAUUGUUCUUGAUGACGUGGAUCAUAGAAGCCAAUUAGAAUCCUUAACAAGAGAAAGAAGUUGGUUUGGCUCUGGCAGUGUAAUAAUUAUUACAACCCGAGACAAGCAUUUGCUAUAUGGGCUUACAACAAGUGAGAUACACCAGGCCAAACUUUUAAAUAAAAAUGAAGCUCAACAACUUUUUUGUUGUCAUGCUUUUAACAGCCUUUCUCCAUCACAAGAAUAUGUUGAGCUGGCACAAGACAUAAUAAAAUAUUCAGGUGGGCUACCAUUAGCUCUUGUGACAUUGGGGUCACAUUUGCAAGGGAGAUCCGUAGAAGAAUGGAGAUACGAGUUCAUAAAACUAAAAGCAAUUCCUCAUGGUGAUAUUCAAAAGAUUCUCCAGAUAAGCUUUGAUGGACUUGAUGACAAUCCUAAGAGUGUUUUCCUUGAUAUCGCAUGCGCCUUUCAUGUGUGUUAUGAGGAUGAAGUUACCAAAGCAUUAAAUGCGUGUGGUUUUUAUUCUAAAAGUGCAAUUUCAACCUUAGUCGAAAGGAACUUGCUCCAAAGGGAUUGGCCUUAUUUGGUGAUACAUGACCUUGUGCGGGAUAUGGGAAGAGAAAUCGUUCGCAGGGAAUCACCUCGAGACUCUGGGAAACGGAGUAGAUUGUUCAACCCUCAAGAAGUCCAUGAUGUUCUACAAGGAAAUAAAGUAAGUAAAUUUCAUUAUCUUUAUCUUAGUUAUACAAUUGCUUAUAAUUUAGGUUGUCACCAGAAGAACUCAAUUCAUUUGUGCUUAAUUCUUCUCUGGCUAGUAAAUUAUCUCUAGUUGUUUGCCAACCACUCUUUCCUAAUUUCUCGUACUUUUCUUUUUACUAAACUACAGGGUUCCGAAAAUAUAGAAGUAUUGGUGUUAGAACGACAUGCAUUAAAGGGUGUGAAGCUGAGCACAAAAGCAUUUCAGAAAAUGAUAAAACUUAGGGUGCUUAAAAUCGACGACUUACAUAUUAGUGGAGAUUUUGAGCUAUUGUCCAAGGAGCUCAGAUGGUUGUCUUGGAAAGGAUGUCCUUUAAAAUGUAUGCCAUCAAAUUUUCCAGCUGAGAAACUUGUAAUCCUGAAUAUGAAAGGGAGCAAUAUCGAAGAAUUUGGUUUGAAUUUGCAGGUUUAUUACUCAAUUCUGCAAUUUGAUGUAUACUGUUAUAUUGCAACUACGUGAAGGAAAAUGUUAAUUGAAAUUAUAUUUUUUUACUUCUUAGUAUUGUAGAAGUUUGAAGGAGCUGAAUCUUUCUGAUUGCAAACGCCUCAGAAGUACUCCAAACUUCAGGGGUUCACGAAGUCUUGAAACUUUGUCGCUUGAGAAUUGCUCAAGUCUAAAGGAGAUCCAUCCAUCAAUAGGAAAUUUGGAAAGACUAACUGAUCUUCAAUUGAAUGGUUGCAAAAAGAUAUCAGAUUUUCCGAGCAGCAUAUGCCAGCUAAAUUCCCUUAAAUACUUGGACAUUAGUUACUGCUCAUCUUUACAAACACUGCCAGUUGACAUUGGAGAUAUGCACAGCCUAAGACAUAUUUAUGCACGGGAUACGGGUAGAAAACAACUGCCCGAAUCUGUUGAAAUGCUAAGAAAUCUUGAAGAAUUGCUAGUGGGAGGUCGAAAUUUAGAGGCCAAAAGGAGUUUUUCUCGAAGAAGAGUUCGCCGCAUAGAAUCCUUGUCAAUGUUUAUUUUUCAUUUAAGCCUUCCAUAUUUUGGUUUAUCCGAUGAUGAUAUUCCUAGGGACAUUGGGAGAUUAUCCAACUUACUUUAUUUAGAUUUGAGGGGCAACAGUUUCCUCUAUCUACCCUUUGAUUUUUCCAAGUUACCAUUGUUGAUGUAUUUGUAUUUGAAUGAUUGUAAGAAUCUUCAAACACUCCCGUCAAUAUCAAAUUUAGAGAAGCUUAAAAUUGUUGACCUUAGGAAUUGCCAAAAACUGGUCAAGAUUACAGGGUUGGACAACCUCCCUUCAAUAAAGAAGAUGGACAUGAUUAAUUGUACUUGUCUGCAGAAUCCAUUCAAUGAAGGCUUCUUUAGUGCCCCUGCUCUAUCAAUUCCAUCUAGAAAAUAUCCAGAGCAUGAAGUUAGUCCCUCUCUCUCUCUCUCUCUCUCUUGAAUCACUUUAUUAUUUAAUGUUCUAAUAAUGUCUUAAUUUGUCUGAUGAAGCAGCGGUUACAAGUUUAUGUCGAAAGCAAUGAGAUUCCAGAUUGGUGCAGCAAUAAAGUAACAGCUCCAUCUAUGCGUUUGACUAUGCCUACAGUAGAUAAUAAUGAGUAUAACUUCUUAGGGAUGGUUGUCUGGUUUGUUUGCCAUUGCAAUGUAUUCACCCUUCAUCAAUACUUCGAUGUUACUGUUGCCCAUAUAAAGCCUUCAGCUUUUCCGUUUAGUUUGGAUUUUGAUAUACCUGAGCCUGACAGUCAGGGAGAAAUAUCAUGUGUAUAUUACUUCUCUUACUCAUAUGAUACACCUUUUAAAGGCCUGAACAUCAAAGGCAGGGAACAGAUAACAGUAGAGGAGGGCACUGAUGAAGGUACAGUAAAGAAGAUAGGAAUACAUCUGUUAUAUUUAGACCAGCAUGGUAAUGUUACAUCUUUGCCGGGAGUUGUGGAUCAUUCUUAUACACCCUCCUACCCACAAAGACUUUCAGCAGGGCAUAUCAACCCAAACAAUAACAACAGUGAAAUUCCACGAGUGAGGUCUGGAGCAGGGGAUAUCAACUCCUCCAUGAUAAAAGAGCAAAGUUCUGAGGGUGUAUUCGGUACCAAGGAAAAUGUGUUCGAUGGAAAAUGUUCUUUUUUUGGAAAAUGUUUUUCCGGAAAAUAAGUGGGUUUCUUACUUGUUUUCAUUAGGUAAGAAAAAAGUCUAUUCUAGAAGUAUUUGUAUAUAUAACAGUAAGUAGAAAUGUUACAAGUGUUUGUAUUCAUUUUUUAUAGGUGGAUCCACCAUGUAUAGAAUGCACAAAAUCAAUAUUUGGUUGGCAUUAUGAUCAUAAUAUUUAAUUUCUACUCCCUUUUUUCCUGAAAAAAUACUAUAAAAAUGAAGUUGGAGCAGAAGAAAUUGUAUAAUAAAUAAUUUGGGACUUACUCUCUUAUAUGUGGUGCUAGGGGAGUGCCCGUUCUCAUUCUGUGAAAUGUGCACAAUUUUUUGCAGAUGAAAAAGGUGAUGGAACCAUGCAAUAUGCAUCAUCUCUCGGGAAUUUCAAGUAGUUUAAGCAGAUGUUUAUAUGUGAUAUUUGAAAAAAAUAUGUAUUUGGAAGUUAAAAUUGUGUUUGGACUUUGGUGGACAUGUAGAAGUUGGGAGAGGAAAAAAACUUUAUGUUAUUUAGAUUUGAGCGGCAAUAGUUUCCUCGAUCUACCUUUUGAUUUUUCAAAGUUACCAUUGUUGACGUCCUUGUGUUUGAAUGAUUGUAAGAAUCUUCAAACACUCCCGUCAAUAUCAAAUUUAGAGUAACUUCAAAUUGCCAAAAACUGGUCAAGAUUACAGGGUUGGACUAGCUACCUCCCGUCAAUAGAGAAGAUGGACAUGAUUAAUUAAUUGUACUUCUCUGCAGAAUCCAUUCAAUGAAGUCUUCUUUGGUGUCCAUUCUCUAUCAAUUCCAUCUAUAAAGUAUCCAAUGCAUAAGGUUAGUCCCUUUAUUUUUCUCUCUCUCGUAUCACAUUAUUAAUUAAUGUUCUUAUUGUGUCUUGAUUUGUGUGAUGAAGCUGCAUCUAUCUGUUUCACUAUUCCCACAGUACAUAAUAAUAAGUUGUUAGGAAUGGUUCUCUGGUUUGUUUGCGACUCUAAGAUUUUAUCAGAUUUUGGACACUUCAUUAUUGUUGUAUCCAAUAAAAAGCCUUUAGUUUUUUUUUUUUACUGGACUAGGUAUCCCGAAUCACACGGGGAAGUAUCAUGUGUAUAUUACAUAUCUUGCUUAACUAAACAUGGAAAAGAUAACAGUCGAGGAGGGCCGUGACAAAGGUAGAGUAAAGAAGAUAGGGGUACAUCUGUUAUACUUUGACAAACAUGGUAAUGUUACAUAAUAUACCUGACAGUCAGGGAGAAGUAUCAUGUGUAUAUUACUUAUCUUUCUCAAAUGGUAGACCUUUUAAAGGCCUUAAGAUCAAAGGCGGGGAACAGAUAACAGUAGAGGAUGGCACUGACGGAGGCAUAAUAAAGAAGCUAGAUAGGAGUACAUCUGUUAUAUUUAGAUCAACAUGGUAAUGUUAUAUCUUUCCCCGCAGUUGUGGAUCAUUCUUAUACUCCCAACCCACAAAGAUAGAUGUUUGAUUUGGGUUAAAUAUAAUUUUUUAAGCUGACAAAAAGUUGACAAGCAAACUAUAUAUUGUAAUAAAUAGUAUUCUUACAAGUGCUUUGAGAUUAUUGCUGCUUUGACGCAUUUGUACAAGAUUUUAUGUGAACAUUCCCUGGCCAAUUGAAACAAACACUGUUAGCAACAUCUCAUACUAUAUCAAUCAUGAAAUUUUCAGUGAAACGUUCUAUAACGAGGUUUGACUGUACUUGUAUAAUGUUAAACCAUCAUCGUACGUUACGAGACAUGCCACCCUUACCUACAAGGUGGAGCAUUUUCAUCAGACAUGCUCAAAUGCUACAAAUCCAUACGGAUAUGAUGAUCAAAAUUGAAUGACCGCGAAAGAAAUUAAACAAAUAGAAGCUAGAAUGUCAAAUGACUCACUAAUAAUGCAUCAAUCUCAGAUAACUGAAUUCCUUUGCUAAGGUAACUACUUACAUAGCUUCAGAGUCCAGACCAAAACAGAACACAAGCAGGGGUAAUUCAAUGUCCAAAUGUACUGCGGACUACCUCUGGAAACUCCCAUUGUCACAACCCAAGUAUAUAACACGUGUUUUCCGCUUUGGCCCUACAGACCUAACGGAUUUGUUCCUUGAGCUACGUCAUGUUAGAGUCUACUAAUAACCCGUGUACCAUGUGAACUUCCACUGCAACCUUUUCAAACACUUUACUUUCACUUAAGAUGUCAUGUGCGAUGGGUAGGAAGAAGGGAGGGGAGAAAAUCAGGUGUCACACACCUCAAACCAUGUUGUAGUCCCACAUCAUUUGUUGGAUGGAACGUGGAGUACUGCUCUUUAUAUGACUUUGGGCAAUUUUCUCCACAUGAGGUAACUUUUUAGAGUUAAGUUAAAUCCAAAUGAAAAUGACAUGAAUGAGUCAAACUUAUAACAUAUGAGAUAUUUUAGGAAUUUGCUUAAAAAUAAAAAGGGUCAAAUUCAAGAUGCAACUACAACAACUAGAUUGCACUAACCCAACACACAAGGAGCAAACGAUGAAUUGUGAAGAUAAAGUAUCAAGGAAGGUUGUGUGCUCUAACACCUUUGAUGCCUUAAUGAUCAAUUCCGAUCAAGAGCUCCAUGCAUUGUCCACUCCAAUUCUUCAAGUUUCUAAUCCAAAAACUACUAGAAUAAUCAAGGAGUCAUAUGCCACAAUGUUGAAUGAAGAAAACCCAAUGGUCAAACCACCUAUGGCAACAAUCAACACCUCGAAUCAUGAUGUUCCUAAUUCUCCAUCNNNNNNNNNNNNNNNNNNNNNNNNNNNNNNNNNNNNNNNNNNNNNNNNNNNNNNNNNNNNNNNNNNNNNNNNNNNNNNNNNNNNNNNNNNNNNNNNNNNNNNNNNNNNNNNNNNNNNNNNNNNNNNNNNNNNNNNNNNNNNNNNNNNNNNNNNNNNNNNNNNNNNNNNNNNNNNNNNNNNNNNNNNNNNNNNNNNNNNNNNNNNNNNNNNNNNNNNNNNNNNNNNNNNNNNNNNNNNNNNNNNNNNNNNNNNNNNNNNNNNNNNNNNNNNNNNNNNNNNNNNNNNNNNNNNNNNNNNNNNNNNNNNNNNNNNNNNNNNNNNNNNNNNNNNNNNNNNNNNNNNNNNNNNNNNNNNNNNNNNNNNNNNNNNNNNNNNNNNNNNNNNNNNNNNNNNNNNNNNNNNNNNNNNNNNNNNNNNNNNNNNNNNNNNNUUGGCCUAGGCAACAAAGAAGUGGAAGCAACAAAACAAAAAGAAGACACAUGAAAGGCAACAUAGUUGUGAUGGUAAGGUGACUGAAGAAUUUAUUCCAAAGCACCUACCAAUGCGACUGACAAAGCAAAAUCAUAUGACAGUUUCAACAACAACAUGAUCCAGUAAAUCCAAAAAGAAGUGAAGAACUAUCAAGUUUUGUUGGUCAUAUUUGACGAAGAAGAGAAGAGGGAAAUACUUCAGGUUACUUUACACGGGCAAUCCAUCUCUUUUAAUUUUUAUAUAUAUAAAAUGAAGUUUGAGGUUGAUAACUCAGCUUUAUUCUUAGAUUUUGUAUUUUUGCAUUACUUAAGCAUCCUCAUUUGUAGUAUCAUCAUAGAGUGUAUCAUAAACUCUAUGAUGAACACAAAAUAUUUAGUUUUCUCUAGCUCUUAUUUUCUUCAUGCUUGUUAAUUAGUAGAUGUUCGUUACCUCAUUAAGAUUAGUAAGGUAAGGCCUAGCCCCCCUUUCUUGUACUUUUCUCAUUGAGAUCCUUUUCUCUUUAUUAAUAAAACUAGACCUAGGCACACAUUGCCUAGCGGAAUUGUUUAACAAAAAAAAAACUACUAUUAGAAUUGACCUUUGGUGGGUAGAGAAAUUUAGAAUGUGAAACCAUUCAAAUUAAAAAGAAAAAGAAUUGAAUGUUUUCAUUUAAUUUCCAUCAACUUUCCUCCACAAUAAGAUUGCCUAUCAAGAGUCCCACAAGUAUAAUUUCCUAGAAGGAUGAAAUGUACUGUUAUUAAUUAUUGGAAUGCAAAAAGAAGAAGCAUGUGGUUUUACUGUGCAUGUCACACUGAAUGAAAAUAUAUGUAAAGCACUUUUAGUCAAGUGAAAUCACAGGCAUACCUCCAAACCAGCUAAAAAAAUAUGAUAUUACUUAUAUAGAUUUAAUUAAAUACAUAAUUUACCUAACCAGUUAUCAAACAUGAUAAGAGUAUUAUUUAUACAAAUUUAAUAUGCGGAUAAUUUACCUCCAAAUCAAUGGCUUAGUGACUCGUUAAAGUGAAUUUUGACCAAUUAUUCCAAACCAAAUGAGAGAUGACUCUUGAUCAAUUAUUUCAAUCCACUUAUCAAUAAUGUGAAAGAGAUUUAAAGAAGAAUGACUUUGAAAUGCCAAAAAGAAAUUAAAGCAGAUAGUUAUACCGACAAUUAACAGUCCAUAGUGAAUUAUUGGAGGUAUGAAACAUUUUUCUUAAAAAUAUAUUUAAAGAUAAAAAUUAAAAAUUAUUUUUUUAAUAUUUCUAAACUGUACAAAUAAUAAUGAUCAUUGUUUUAAUAAUAUGAACAAGUAAAAAUCUACGAAGAGAGGGUAAGUAAAUAGUAUAUCUAUUAAUAUCAUGACAAAUAAAAGUGAAAUACACAUUUCUAUGAAAUAUCUUGGAAACUUCCCUUUCAUUUCUGUCAUGCUUCUUUGGGGCUUGUAAAUGACUUGACCCAUUAUUAAUUUUCCAGGAACAAAUAAUUACCUGUGGGUAUAUGUAGAAGCUGCUUCACCCAUCUUUCUUUCAUUAUUAAAACAAAAAAUGAUCUAAAAAUCCCUUAAAAUUAUUGUCAUCAAAUAUGCAUGCACAGUUUGUUGUAGGAGAAUCAUCUUCUUCUUCCAACUUGUCUUAUGAUGUAUUUCUCAGUUUCAGAGGCAAAGAUACUCGCAAAACCUUCACCGGUCAUCUUUACACCCAAUUGUGUCAAGUCGGAGUUAAUACCUUCAUAGAUGAUGAGGAAUUAAGAAAGGGAGACGUCAUUUCAACCGAACUUGAGAAAGCAAUUGAACAAUCAAGGGUUGCCAUUGUUGUUUUCUCCAAAAAUUAUGCUUCCUCUAGUUGGUGUCUUGAUGAACUUGUCAAAAUUCUCGAUUGCAGAGUGAGGUUAAAAGCAGGUAGUUUUGCCUAUUUUCUAUGAUGUUGAUCCUUCUCAAGUGCGAAGGCAAACUGGGUCCUUUGGUGAAGCUUUGGCAAAACAUAAGGAACGAUUGUUUGGAGCUCAAAGAGUGGAGAAGUGGAAAGUUGCACUAACCGAAGCUGCGAAUUUAUCUGGAUGGGAUUUGCGAAAUAUUGCUGAUGGGUAAGACUUCUUAAUUCAACUUAAAUUCCAUGUCAAAUCAAACAACAUCACAUGAACUGGGACGAGGAAGUAGUAGUAAUGGGCAAUCUCCAUUCUCUAACCUCAAUUUCCCUAUUGGUUAUUGUCUGUUGGGUAUGGAUUUUGUUUUGUUCAUCAAAUAUUUUCAAAUAUCAAAGUUUCGUUUUUUAAAUUUUAACUCUGUUAUUGCUGAAAAACCGUAGGCAUGAAUCAAAAUUUAUUGGAAGUAUUAUAAAACAAGUUCUGCAAGAGGCCAACCAGACACCUCUAGAUGUUGCUCAUUACCCAAUUGGAUUAGAUUCUCCUAUCGAGCAUAUAGAGUUGUUACUGCAAAGUGGAUGUGGGCAUGAAGUUCGCAUGGUUGGUAUAUGUGGCGUUGGUGGAAUUGGAAAAACAACUCUAGCAAAAGCUAUCUACAAUCGAAUAUUUCAACAGUUUAGUGGUAGUUGCUUCCUUUCGGACAUUAGAUCAAAAGCUGAAGAAUUGGGUCUUGUCAAGCUACAAGAAAAAGUACUUUGUCAAAUUCUCAAAACUAAGGAGUUCGAAGUUGAUAGCGUUGCUGAAGGUGUCAAUCUAAUCAAAGCAAGACUUGGGUCAAAGAAGGUUCUAAUUGUUCUUGAUGAUGUGGAUCAUAGAUGCCAAUUAGAAUCCUUAACAAGAGAAAGAAGUUGGUUUGGCUCUGGUAGUGUAAUAAUUAUUACAACCCGAGACGAGCAAUUGCUACAUGGGCUUACAACAAAUGAGAUAUACCAGGCCAAACUUUUAAAUGAAAAUGAAGCUCAGCAACUUUUUUAUUGCCAUGCUUUUAACAGUCUUUCUCCACCACAAGAAUAUGUUAAACUGGCACAAGACAUAAUAAAAUAUUCAUAUGGGCUACCAUUAGCUCUUGUGACAUUAGGGUCACAUCUACAAGGGAGAUCCGUUAAAGAAUGGAGAGAUGAGUUCAAUAAACUAAAAGCAAUUCCUCAUUGUGAUGUUCAAAAGAUUCUCCAGAUAAGCUUUGAUGGACUUGAUGAUAAUACUCAGAGUGUUUUCCUUGAUAUCGCAUGCGCCUUCCAAGGUUUUUUUGAGGAUGAAGUUACUAAUACAUUAAAUGCGUGUGGUUUUUAUUCUGAAAGUGCUAUUUCAACCUUAGUCCAAAGGAACUUGCUCCAAAGGAAUUGUCGUAAGUUAGUGAUGCAUGAUCUAGUGCGGGAUAUGGGAAGAGAAAUCGUUCGCAUGGAAUCACCUCGAGACUGUGGAAAACGGAGUAGAUUGUUCAACCCUCAAGAAGUCCUUGAUGUCCUACAAGGAAAUAAAGUCAGUAAAUUUCAUUAUCUUUAUCUUGGUUAUACUUUCUUUUCUCUUCUUUUUUUUUCAUUUAAUUUGAUAUACAUUUGCUUAUAAUUUAGGUUGUCACCACAAUAACUCAAUUCAUUUGUGCUUAAUUCUUCUCUGGCUGGUAAAUUAUCUCUAGUUGUUUGACAACCACUCUUUCCUAAUUUCUUGGACUUUUCAUUUUACUAAACAACAGGGUUCCAAAAAUGUAGAAGUAUUGGUGAUAAAUCAACAGGCAUUAAAGGGUGUGAAGCUGAGCACAAAAGCAUUUCAGAAAAUGAUAAAACUUAGGGUGCUUAAAAUUGACGACUUACAUAUUAGUGGAGAUUUUGAGCUAUUGUCCAAGGAGCUCAGAUGGUUGUCUUGGAAAAAAUGUCCUUUAAAAUGUAUACCAUCAAAUUUUCCAGCUGAAAAACUUGUAGUUCUGAAUAUGGAAGGGAGCGAUAUCCAAGAAUUUGGUUUGAAUUUGCAG